UGACCUCUGACCUCAAAUCAGGUAGGACUACCCGCUGAACUUAAGCAUAUCAAUA
rnacentral:rRNA from 2 species